UCGGUGCCCGCCCGCGGGCAAAGUGAGGGGAGGCGGCGGGGGGCGGUCGCCGCUGUCGCAUUCCAGCGGGACUACUUGCUAUUCUUCACCCCCUCCGCCGCGUAGCGAUGCUGCCCGCGGAGCAACACCGGCCCGGGAGCGACGGCACUACUUUCUGCCACAGAGCAGCGGCGGCGGUCGAGGCAACAGCAGCACAAAGGCAGAGCUGGUCCUCCGCCGGGGAGUUGAAAACAGCACUGCCUAAGGAUACACUUCAGCGGUUGUGUUUUCAGUGCGAACCAUGCAGGAUUCUGAUUUUAAUUUGGCACUGCCCACCAGACCACAGGGCAAGUCCAGGACUUUUCUUAGGAAUAUUCAGCCGGGGCUACAUUUCAAAGCCAAAUUACAGAAAUGUCAUUUGAGAAAGCUACAGUUCUAAAAUUCAUAAAGUACUUUAAUGCUAGGUUGACACAGAGGAAACAUCCUUUU